GUCGAACGGCAGCAUGAUCUAGCUUGCUAGAUUGAUGGCGAGUGGCGAACGGGUGAGUAAUACAUCGGAACGUGCCCUGUAGUGGGGGAUAACUAGUCGAAAGAUUAGCUAAUACCGCAUACGACCUGAGGGUGAAAGUGGGGGACCGCAAGGCCUCAUGCUAUAGGAGCGGCCGAUGUCUGAUUAGCUAGUUGGUGAGGUAAAGGCUCACCAAGGCGACGAUCAGUAGCUGGUCUGAGAGGACGGUCAGCCACACUGGGACUGAGACACGGCCCAGACUCCUACGGGAGGCAGCAGUGGGGAAUUUUGGACAAUGGGCGAAAGCCUGAUCCAGCAAUGCCGCGUGUGUGAAGAAGGCCUUCGGGUUGUAAAGCACUUUUGUCCGGAAAGAAAUGGCUCUGGUUAAUACCUGGGGUCGAUGACGGUACCGGAAGAAUAAGGACCGGCUAACUACGUGCCAGCAGCCGCGGUAAUACGUAGGGUCCAAGCGUUAAUCGGAAUUACUGGGCGUAAAGCGUGCGCAGGCGGUUGUGCAAGACCGAUGUGAAAUCCCCGAGCUUAACUUGGGAAUUGCAUUGGUGACUGCACGGCUAGAGUGUGUCAGAGGGGGGUAGAAUUCCACGUGUAGCAGUGAAAUGCGUAGAGAUGUGGAGGAAUACCGAUGGCGAAGGCAGCCCCCUGGGAUAACACUGACGCUCAUGCACGAAAGCGUG
rnacentral:rRNA from 1 species